AACGAACGCUGGCGGCAUGCCUAACACAUGCAAGUGGCACGGACGUAGCAAUACGUUAGUGGCGCACGGGAGAGUAACACGUGGGAAUCUACCUUUUAGUUCGGAACAACACCGGGAAACUGGUGCUAAUACCGGAUACGCACCGAGGGGGAAAGAUUUAUCGCGAAAAGAGGAGCCCGCGUCUGAUUAGCGAGUUGGUGAGGUAAUGGCUCACCAAGGCGACGAUCAGUGGCUGGUCUGAGAGGACGAUCAGCCUCACUGUGACUGAGACACGGCCCAGACUCCUACGGGGGGCAGCAGUGGGGAAUUUUGGACAAUGUGUGAAACCCUGAUCCAGCAAUGCCGCGUGAGUGAUGAAAGUCUUCGGAUUGUAAAGCUCUUUUGGCAGGGACGAUGAUGACGGUACCUGCAGAAUAAGCUCCGGCUAACUUCGUGCCAGCCGCCGCCUUAA
rnacentral:rRNA from 1 species